GACCUCAAAUCAGGUAGGAUUACCCGCUGAACUUAAGCAUA
rnacentral:rRNA from 1 species